CAGACCCUACGGGGGGCAGCAGUGAGGAAUAUUGGUCAAUGGACGGAAGUCUGAACCAGCCAUGCCGCGUGCAGGAAGACGGCUCUAUGAGUUGUAAACUGCUUUUGUACAAGGGUAAACCUGAAUACGUGUAUUCAGCUGAAAGUACUGUACGAAUAAGGAUCGACUAACUCCGUGCCAGCAGCCGCGGUAAUACGGAGGACCCAAGCGUUAUCCGGAUUUAUUGGGUUUAAAGGGUGCGUAGGCGGAUUGAUAAGUUAGCGGUGAAAUGUCCGUGCUCAACUCGGGAACUGCCUCUAAUACUG
rnacentral:rRNA from 1 species